rnacentral:rRNA from 1 species
UAGUCCACGCCGUAAACGAUGAUCACUCGCUGUUGGCGAUACACAGUCAGCGGCUUAGGGAAACCUUUAAGUGAUCCACCUGGGGAGUACGGUCGCAAGAUUGAAACUCAAAGGAAUUGACGGGGGCCCGCACAAGCGGAGGAGCACGUGGUUUAAUUCGAUGAUACGCGAGGAACCUUACCUGGGCUUAAAUGUAAGACGAUCGUCCCCGAAAGGGGAUUUUCCUUCGGGACGUCCUACAAGGUGCUGCAUGGUUGUCGUCAGCUCGUGCCGUGAGGUGUCGGGUUAAGUCCCAUAACGAGCGCAACCCCUAUCCUUAGUUGCCAUCAGAUAAUGCUGGGGACCCUAAGGAAACUGCCUACGCAAGUAGUGAGGAAGGUGGGGAUGACGUCAAAUCAGCACGCCCCUUAUGCUCUGGGCUACACACGUGCUACAAUGGCCGUGACAAAGAGUUGCUACUUUGUGAAAACAAGCUAAAUCUCAUAAACGCGGCCUCAGUUCGGAUUGCAGGCUGAAACUCG